CGUCCAUCUCUGUAUAUGGUUUUUUUUUUUUUUUUUCAUUAAAGUGUACAUUGUUAGCGGCUGUAAUUUGCUGCUUUUAGAACGAGCACGGAAUCGCACAAUGUUCAAAUACUUGAUGCGUCACGUAAACUAAUUCAUUUACCAUAAUCUUAAAAUAUCACAUUAGCUGCUGCUGUAGAAACCAAAUAUUCUCCUGAUUCCAUAAACUGUCCAAUGACUCUCCACCUAGUAUACUAUUGUUCUGCAUCCCCAUCUCUGUUUCCACCCACCUACCAGAUUCUUCUUCAGGGUAUAAACCCGAUCCAUUUUGAUAUUCUGUCACGUCUGACACUGGAGAAACCUGGGUGUCCAAUGACUCCGACGAGGUCCCUGAUGGUUCUGGCAUUAUCCACUCCUUCAUGGGGUCGGUUAUUUGCACGGAUUCACUAUUUGCAGGGAUAUCGAGGUGACUGUUGCAACUGGUGUAUGUGGUGGAAUGAUCCGUCGGAGACCCAGAUGUUGCCUGAAUUCUCUCGACUAACCGAGGGAUCCAAAUAUAGCGCAUGGCCUCUCUGAAUUUUUUGCUAUUAACAUCGCAUUUGAGCUGCUUUGCCUGCUUUUGGACUCUGGUUCUCCAGUAGUUCUUGAUCUCAUUGUCUGUUCUGCCAGGCAAGUACUGUGCUAUUUUCGACCACCUAUUGCCCCAACGAGAAUGGAGUUCCAGAAUCAAGAGCUGUUCUUGGAGAGUUAU
rnacentral:misc_RNA from 1 species